AGCUCAAUAAAUGCCAGUGGUGAUUAGCUGCUAUUAAAGGGCUGGUGACGUGGCCCCAGGAGUGCCAGGCUCAGCAGUGAGCAACACCGGCAUCUCUCAGUGCCCAGAGCCUCUCCCAGUUUGGUCUCCCACCUUGAAAGCCAUGGUCCGUCUGUCCACCAACGGGCAGCGUGGACCCACAGCCUGGAUGCAGAGCUCACUCACUUGCUCUCUGCCCUGGGCCGCCCUGCCCUGGCUUCCUCUGUGUGGAGGUGGGAUUGGGGGGGCAGGUGAUCCUCCCUCAAAGGUUAAGUCACCAGAGAAUUCUGUGGACAGUUGCGUGCUCCCGCUUGAGGGUUCGGCAGGUUGCACCAUGCAGCCAGCUCCCCGCCCUUCACAUCUCUGAGCGUGUCUCUAGAUGCCUGAUGUGUGUCCUGCUGUGAAAGCUUGAUGGGGUAGAAGAAGUCUCCCUCAUUUUCUGUGCAGAGAACACGUGGGGAGGAGAGGACAUGGAUCGCUUGAUACCCAGCUCUUACGUUUUCAGGAAAUAGAAACUGGAAGACGUCAUUGUCAAUGUUCCACUUGGGCCAGGGCCAAAAUCUCCACACCUGACUCACGUCGCCUCCAGUGCUGGCAUGGGACCUGAGCCCCCACGUGUUCUGCCUGUUGGACCCACUGGAAUGAGCCUUUCCCCCUGCUUCAAGUCGGCAGCCGUGUGGUUGAAUCUUCCCCACUUGCAGGACAACCUUCUCAGCCUUCUGCACCUCCUCCACUGCAGUUUGUCAGGCUACCCACCCUUCUCCCAGAACGUACGCCAAGGGCCCAGGCCUGGCAGCCGCCUCCUCCAUCCCUGGCGAGGCUGUGAUGGAAGAACACUGAACGGGCACUCAGGCACCCAGGUCCCAGAGCGAUCAGGGCUCCCCAGUGAUCCUAGGGUUUUUGACUCAGCCAGGAAAGAGCAGACCUCGCAGCCUGGCCCUGCACUCUUCUUGUUACUGCCGGCGGUGGACCCCUGGGCGCAUCACAGACUCAUCACCCCACCACUGGUCUUAGCCCCACGGCCCCAGCCAGACAAACCCUCGACCUCUGGAAUGCUUGGCCCGCCGCUCCUUGUAUGCGUACUUCUGCUGCACACCGUGGAUCUUCUUGAGGUGGGACUCCAGAGAGCAGCGCUGCGUGAAGGCCUUGUCACACAGGCUGCACUUGUAGGGCCGCACACCUGCAAGUAUCGGGUAGCGUUAGCGAGGCUCCCCAGCGCUGGAGCCGGGCCACACCGCCUGCACACGGAGGAGUGACUGCAGGACUUUGCCUGGCAAAUUCUCACCUGCAUCUCCAGGUCAGACCCCACCCUACGUCCAGGGUGGUCCGGCAGGCUGAGCAGCUCCCCUCACCUGGACAGCAGCAGCAGGUGGCACAGACAUCCAGAUGCCCUCCUCCGCACCUGCUGGGCCUGUCCCUGGGUGUAGGUACCCCCGCCCCCCACCGCCACUCCCACCACGGCCACCAGAACUGCGGUGGGGAAAACCACUAGGACACAAGGCAGCCAACGAUUUGAACAAGCGGAAUUUCUUUGUCCUUUGUAAAAGUCACCACAUGAUCUGUUACUGAUUGGGAUGCGAAAUAAAACUAAAAAUAACAGCACACUGAGUCUCAAGCAAGGCUCCGCUCACCUUUAACACAGUCCAAGUUCGGUUUAUCAGAUCCCAAGGAGCAGCUAAGCAGCAAGUCAAACACAGGUGAGGGAGGAGCAGGAGCAAGGAAGGGGGCCCAUGGCCCUCACCCUCACCCCUUCCGGACCUGAAACACCAUCAACUCCCUGGGGAACUUGGAGAAGCAAGAAACCGCACAGAGAAUCCUGGGCCUGCUCACUUCCCUUGAUGUCUCAGUUUCCCCACUGGGAUCAUCAGGGCUUGGAACAUUCUCUCGUCUUAAGGAGGCUGUAGACAGGGGCCAAGGAGCUUGAGCCAAGGCUAAGCUGUGAAACACCCUGCCAGUACCCUAGGUCAUAGGAUCCUCAUAUCGCUCAGGCCACCGUUCCACUCACUGUCUCCAACCAUGCAUUCAGGAGAGAAACUGAGGCAAGAGCCCUCACAGGGCCCCUCACCGCCCUCAUUUCGCCACUUUCCUACAAGGCCUGGGGCGGUGCCGGAGAGCCUGCAGAUCAAGGGUCAAAGUCGGUUGGUUAAUUACAACCUCUCCCCCCUUGGAGGCGCUGGGCAGGGUGUUCAGCGCAUCCCCUGCCCCACCCCCCAGGCCUGGGGAGGGGGAGUUCCGAAGGAAACCGGCUCGCUCCCGACCAAAGAUUCUGUUGGGGGUGGGGCGGACAGAAGACUAAUAAGGAAGAUGCCGCCGGGGCAAGAAACAACUAGGUUUACUCAUUCCAAGUUGACUCCGACGCUGUCAAGGCGUCUUCCGAAAAUAAACUGGCUGCCCCAGCUUCCCCCGGGCUGGUCCCUGGCUGUGGGAUGGGUUCUUUAAACCCCCUUUCAGCUCACUGGUGUCCUCUUCGAGGCUGAAGGAGGCGCGUUUCUAACCGAGGUGAGACCCGAUCCCACCUUUGUCUUAAGGGCUGGUGGGAUGCAGCCGGGCGCCUUCCCGGCCGUCUGGCGUUCCCCACGGCUGGGGGGCUCCCUGCCUGCCCGACCCCCAUGGGGACCUUCUGGCCACCCGUGUUGUGGGGGAAACGGAGAGAGCAAUGAAGGUGGCCUACGCUCUGGGUCUUCUCUUGCAUUUGCACAAACCUCAGCCCAAACUCCAGCUCGCUCCCGGCCCCCCCAAAGUGACACCGCUACAGUGCCCUCCGCCCGCCUCAUAAAAGCCCCGGCUUUCUGGAUUUACGACGCGAG
ensembl:lincRNA